CGUUCGGCCGGGCACAAAGCUCAAGGUCGCCUCGCUGCAAUUGUUGCAAGUAAACAGACUUGUUUGCGACAGUUCGCUCCACCAUUCCUUGCGAUUUACAGAUUCCUAUUCCCCAGCAAUGGAGAGGUUUGAUUGCUUGGGGAGCAAAUGUGUGCGAGCGUUAAAUUGUUUCCUUUCAAUUUGAUCGUUGGAUGUUUUAAAAUAAAUCAGGCAAUGAAUUAGAGAUUCUUUAAGAAGAACUCUUACUUAAAAUAAAUUUCCCAUAUCCGGAGCGAAAAUCGAGGUACUGGAGGAGUUCGGUGUUCAAGGUUAAUCUGUGGAGAGACCAGUUAAGAGUCGCAGGGUAAAUGGCAUUGACCCAAUGUUGUCGAAGGGCUUAUCUGACUGAGCAAGUCGCAAUUACCCAUAUCACUACAGUCUAGACCUUUCCUAAUCAUGUGCCUAAUUCCUAAUCCAAAUGCCUUUUCAAUAUUGUCAUUGGAUCCAUCUCUGGCAGCUAGUUCCAUAUAGCAACCACAACUUUUGGAAAAGUUACCCAUCUGCAUUUCUAGCUUUGGAUUCCACUGCCCUGGAGGAAAUGCGCCUCGAGAAUGUGUACACCUCUGUGGAGAGAGCCCUGAGCCGUAACAGAAAACCAGGGUAAUCGGGUUCUCCUCGUGCCUCCCAAAGUCGAACCGCAGUCCCCGUGGUGAGAGGUGGAAGCGGGCAAGCCGGCCACCGGGUCUCCGGUGAAGCUGCACAGGCCGACCCCCAGUACAAUGGAUUGAUGAACUCCAAUCAUCGGAUAAUGGAGCCGGGAGGUCAUCGAUAGCCUCUGCUCCACUUGGAGCGAAGGGCCCUAAUGCUGCUUGGCCUGCUGAGUUCCUCCAGCAUUUUGUGUCUGUUGCUUGGAUUUCCAGAAUCUGCAGAUUUUCUCCUCAUUGCUGCUCCACCUUCUGGGUUUCUUAAGCAGGUGGCUGGAGUCCGUGAUCUACAGCUGCACUCAAACUGUGGUGCUGCACAGGAACUGUGUGUACCUGUUCUUGGAGCUCGCCGUUCAGCCACACUUUCAAUAUCUCCAGGAGCGGCCUGAAGACAGGUGCCUGUGGACUUAAUUUCUAGCCAGUGUUGCAAACUGAAGUGUUGUGGGGAGCUGGAACAUUCAGAGAGUGAGUGCAGCUGUCGGAGUCCUCUGAACUUGGGUAAUCUCUCUCUCUCGAUGGUGAGUGAGAGUUUGCUGCUGAUUUUUCAGUCCGGGAAAGUCGAAAUAAAAGUACAGACAGAAUUGCUGAGGAAGGAGUGAUAUCUCUCUCUGGGACGGGGGGGGGGGGG